UGGAAAUCACUCGUAAUUAUUUAAGGAGCUCGCGUUAUGUCAAUUGCGUCUUUAGAAAUUUUUAAUUCAGUUAUUAGUGAAAUCUACUGUGGGGAGAACUUGCGUAAAAAACCGCGUAACAAAUCGGUUUUAGGUAUCAGCGUGCGCGUGUUAUUAUUCUCUUAGUCGCGAAAAGACCUCUUAUUACUGUUGCAUUGUGGGAGGUUAAGUGCGUGGGUAGCAUUUGUUAUUAAUUCCCUGCACCUGUCUCUAUUCUAGGCUUUCUUUUGAGUGGAUUAUCAAACGCGAAAGACAAACUCGUGUGUUACUGCAAGGACAUCACCGAGCGAAGCGCGAGGUACGUCGCAUACGACCAAACCGCCAAGAGCGAAGCAGGGAGAACACGCCAAGAGCGAAGCAGAGAGAACACGCCAAGAGCGAAGCAGAGAGAACACGCCAAGAGCGAAGCAGAGAGAACACGCCAAGAGCGAAGCAGAAAGAACACGCCAAGAGCGAAGCAGAGAGAACACGCCAAGAGCGAAGCAGAGAGAACACGCCAAGAGCGAAGCAGGGAGAACACGCCAAGAGCGAAGCAGGGAGAACACGCCAAGAGCGAAGCAGAGAGAACCAGACCAAUCACGACUAGAGCAAUCACGACUAGACCAACUUGAAUAACAGCAUUUUAUGGCGGCCUUCUCCUGGAGCGACGGUGCCAUCAGCGUUAUGGUCAGCGGUGAUUCUCCCUUGUCCUUCGGUCGCACGAUCAGACGGAAAGAGAGCUCUUCGCUGUCGUUGCACUCAGACGUUGAGCGAACUCCACAAAGCAGCUCGCCGUCACCUAGGUAUUAACAUGGACAUGACAGUUUUUCGCCGUCUUCAAGGUAAAAUGCACACAUUCUAAAAGAACGACUCAAACGGGACUAGCCUCUGCGUUCUUAAGGCGAACUGAUUAAAUCAAUUUUCUUCGCUUGCUCGUACCUUCAUCAUAACAGUCAUCCACAAGCGUAGCGUCUACUAGACGGAUGGUGGCGCCGUUCUAUAAAAAAACACCUUCAUCAACAGAACGCAGAUUCCUUUUACGAUCGUAGCGAGAAAAGGCCACGGCCAAUCCAGAUAACUGCAUCGCGCGGCUAUGUGGGACUGGACCGAGCUGGACAGAGGAGGAAUGGGCCCUUGUCAUAAGGGGACUGGACUAAGCGGGACAGAGGAGGAAUGGGCCCUUGUCAUAAGGGGGCUGGACUAAGCUGGACAGAGGAUGAAUGGGACCUUGUCAUAAGGAGACUGGACUAAGCUGGACAGAGGAGGAAUGGGCCCUUGUCAUAAGGGGACUGGACUAAGCGGGACAGAGGAGGAAUGGGCCCUUGUCAUAAGGGGACUGGACUAAGCUGGACAGAGGAGGAAUGGGCCCUUGUCAUAAGGGGACUGGACUAAGCUGGACAGAGGAGGAAUGGGCCCUUGUCAUAAGGGGACUGGACUAAGCUGGACAGAGGAGGAAUGGGCCCUUGUCAUAAGGGGACUGGACUAAGCUGGACAGAGGAGGAAUGGGCCCUUGUCAUAAGGGGACUGGACUAAGCUGGACAGAGGAGGAAUGGGCCCUUGUCAUAAGGGGACUGGACUAAGCUGGACAGAGGAGGAAUGGGCCCUUGUCAUAAGGGGACUGGACUAAGCUGGACAGAGGAGGAAUGGGCCCUUGUCAUAAGGGGACUGGACUAAGCUGGACAGAGGAGGAAUGGGCCCUUGUCAUAAGGGGACUGGACCGAGCGGGACAGAGGAGGAAUGGGCCCUUGUCAUAAGGGGACUGGACCGAGCGGGACAGAGGAGGAAUGGGCCCUUGUCAUAAGGGGACUGGACCGAGCGGGACAGAGGAGGAAUGGGCCCUUGUCAUUUUUUUGCGAGCAUGAGCAUUUUGACAGUUAGCCAGCAACUUAAAAAACACUUAGUGCUAAAAAAACAUGGUUCCAAAUUUUACUAUAGGAUCCUAGGUAUUGAUGUGAAGGGGGGGGGGUAAAGCUGACGUGACCUGCUCGCUUCAGUUACCUUAACAAGUGCAAAGAGUUGUGGAGUUGUUGCAAAAAAUACUAAAAUACAAAAAGGAGCAUUCAGCACCCCGGAAAUACGACUUCACUUUGCGAGUACUUGGGAAAAUUCGGGGAACCACCUAGCCCUAUUGCAAAAUGAGCAAAAACGGCAUUUAUGCUCAAAAGACACACCCCUUCCACACACAAACUAUCUAGAAAACGGGCCAUUCGAAAAUAGGCCAUUAUCCACCUUGGGUACGAGUUUGUUUUACUUACCUUUCCCAGGUGAAGCCGACCGCUGGAUGACCGCGUCGUCAGCAACAGGUAUCCCGAGAAUAGGAAGCACUGGCGCACACUCUCCUUGCGUGUGUCGGAUGACUUGAGGGAAAUCCCGCCGAAGGACUUGCCCUUACGGUUUUCCGUGAUCUGGAUCAGGCUUCCUACAGGCGGUGAAAGUAAUAUACUUUUAGAAUCCAUGAAUUAGUAGUAUAUUGCAAAUACUGCAUCUGAUUGGCUGAGCUGUUUAUCAGGUGAUCGACGGUUUCCAGCGAAAACGCCGAUGUUUUAAAUUAGAGAUAGAGGCUCCGAGCCCUGAUUUGUUAAUAAAUGUGGCCUGUGCACACUUGAACAAACUCAAUGAUAUUGUUAAAUCGAUGAUCAAUUGAAAAAAAAAAUGAGUAAAGUCGAGUUUAGAAGGCUUUAAACCCGAAAUUCUGUUGUCGAAUCCAAGUGUGCGAAAUAUUUGAGCAUUUCUUUUUUAAUAAGAAAUCAAUCUACAAAGUGCCAACCACUGGUGUCAGAAAAGGGACAAUCCAAAUGCUUGGUUAUUAGUUUUUAAUAAGUUUGCUUUACUAUGGAAACAGACUGGUGAGCCGUUUGAAGUCACAUCCUACGUUUUCCGGCCCUACAAACCCUAAAGAGAGCCAAUCCCGUCAUUGCUUUAUCCAUCGACUCGACGCUUUAUAUUGAUAAAUGAUGCUACUUUUUCGUUUAUAUUGUAAUAAAAUCGAGUGUAAAUUUUCACAUUUCAAUUUGGCACGAGCGAGCGCGUGCUGCCAAAAAUCGGGGAAAUAUUAAUCGUAUAGUCUGACUCUGAAAAGGCGCAAGUUCUUUAUUAGUUUGACCAUCUAGUUGGCGGAUUCUAGAACUAUCGGCCUCUUGGAAAAUGAUUUUAAACAUUGAAUAUAGUCUAAUAGGCCUAAUUAUCACCAACAGCAUCAUAACUAUAAUCAUAAUCAUCACCAACUUCAUGAACAACAGCAGCUGCUUCAGAAGAGGAGAGUUUAUUUAUUUAUUUUUUUUGAGAAAAAGGAGAUGAUGGAAUACUUUUGAGAGUGGGCCGAUGGGUUACCAUGGUUACCUUGUCUGAUGAAGAUCUGAUUGACGUCUAGCAGCAUUUCGCAGCCCUCCGCGAUCUGUCUCUCGAUUGACAGGUUUUUCCGGAUGUUCUCUGUCUCGCUGACUUCGUCAUGCAUCACCUGACCGGAAGUGAGAUUGUUAAAGUAAUUAUCGAUUUUUAAAUAGAAUAUGGGAGAUAUUCAACUUUGUUAAAAAAACGGCUUAUAACGAAAUAUAUUAUAUGUACCAUUCUUUAGUAAAAUAAAUAUGAUAAAAAGUGAAA